rnacentral:rRNA from 1 species
GCAAGUCGAGCGGAUGAAGAGAGCUUGCUCUCUGAUUCAGCGGCGGACGGGUGAGUAAUGCCUAGGAAUCUGCCUGGUAGUGGGGGACAACGUCUCGAAAGGGACGCUAAUACCGCAUACGUCCUACGGGAGAAAGCAGGGGACCUUCGGGCCUUGCGCUAUCAGAUGAGCCUAGGUCGGAUUAGCUAGUUGGUGAGGUAAUGGCUCACCAAGGCGACGAUCCGUAACUGGUCUGAGAGGAUGAUCAGUCACACUGGAACUGAGACACGGUCCAGACUCCUACGGGAGGCAGCAGUGGGGAAUAUUGGACAAUGGGCGAAAGCCUGAUCCAGCCAUGCCGCGUGUGUGAAGAAGGUCUUCGGAUUGUAAAGCACUUUAAGUUGGGAGGAAGGGCAUUAACCUAAUACGUUGAUGUUUUGACGUUACCGACAGAAUAAGCACCGGCUAACUCUGUGCCAGCAGCCGCGGUAAUACAGAGGGUGCAAGCGUUAAUCGGAAUUACUGGGCGUAAAGCGCGCGUAGGUGGUUUGUUAAGUUGAAUGUGAAAUCCCCGGGCUCAACCUGGGAACUGCAUCCAAAACUGGCAAGCUAGAGUAGGGCAGAGGGUGGUGGAAUUUCCUGUGUAGCGGUGAAAUGCGUAGAUAUAGGAAGGAACACCAGUG